UGCUGAUGAAUUCAUGCACCAUACGAACAUGGGUUACUCCUCCUGCAUUUCGCACGUCUCGUUGGAGACAGUCGAUCGGAUCAGACGAAUCGAGUAUAUAUAUCUGGCAAUACUGCUCCCGCCCAAAUCUAUUUCUACCGGGGAGCCAGCCCCUAAGAGGUUCCGCAUAGACGAGGAAGGGGCACUUUCGGUGACAAGCGCACCGAAAGGAAAAAUUGAGAACCUUGCCACGUGGACCGAGGCAUGGUCUAUUUUUAGCCUGAUCGCCAUCCGCGAUCAACCUCGCUGCGCCGCUGCACUGAUGCAGCAUCGAAUACGCAUGGUACAGGCAGCCGGGAAGUACUACUUCUCGGCAGUCGUGGGCUAUGACACGCCGGCACGCCGGGCCCUGUCAAAGGACCCAAGCCGAUCCCUGGCGGAGGUCGACACGGAGCUUUUCGCGACGUGUUUCACAUGAAAGGCCCUCCCCAAUUGCAGCAUUUACAAGAAGGUGGGGCACUUGGCCGGAGCAUACACCUCGGCCUUUCGCGGCAACCAGGCGAAAGAGAGUGCAAGCACUAAAUCAACCGAAAUCUGCCGCCGCUACAAUCACGGCACCUGCAGCGGCCCAUGUCGCUUUCGACACGUCUGCCUCUUCUGCUCAGGCUCGCACGCCGUGUCAGCCUGUCCAGCCAAGAAAUAAGAGCGAACAGCAAUCAGCCCCGACACCACUUUCUUGCAUUCAUCCACCCCCUAAUACACCUAUGAACAUUGCAUUACACCCCAACAUCCCUAUCAAUAUUGAUGCAUUACACACUGAAUUGCUGGCGCACCCUAAUCCUGCA